rnacentral:tRNA from 1 species
GCCCUGGCAGCUUAAUCAUAAAGCAUUGUUCUUGUAAACCAAAGAUGGACCCCCCCCAGAGCA